UACGUAGGGGGCAAGCGUUGUCCGGAAUCAUUGGGCGUAAAGAGCGUGUAGGCGGCCCGAUAAGUCCGCCGUGAAAGUCCAGGGCUCAACCCUGGAAUGCCGGUGGAAACUGUCGGGCUGGAGUCCGGAAGAGGCGAGCGGAAUUCCUGGUGUAGCGGUGAAAUGCGCAGAUAUCAGGAGGAACACCAAUGGCGAAGGCAGCUCGCUGGGACGUUACUGACGCUGAGACGCGAAAGCGUGGGGAGCGAACAGG
rnacentral:rRNA from 1 species